AGCAACAAUGUUCUUGGAGACAGCAACCUACCCAAAGUCUACCCAAACGUUAAAACCGCUUCCUCUCUCAGAGUUCACACACACACAUAUAUAAAUUUCCCGGCGAUUAUCAUCUUAGACCCAAAAGCUAAAUUCCUUUCUCUGUUUCGUUCUGUGAAAAAUUUCCACACAAUUCCUCUAAAUUUAACCUUUCAAACCAAUCAAUCAACCAUGAAAAGCAGAACAGAGCUUCACAUGAUUAACAAAUAGCCAAAAACACAGAGACUCUAUACACAAGAAAACCACACAGGACAUGGCAAUGACACCACAAGAUAGAUCAAAGCCACUCCACAACUUCUCAUUGCCUAGCUUCAAAUGGGGUCACCAAAGAGUCCUUAGAUGUGUCAAAGUUACCGAUGAUCCUCAUCUUCGAUCUUCCUCUUCGAUUCCCGGUGGAUUUCAACCCAAACCCACCAACCUUGAGACCCCUAAGAAUCACAAACCAAUCUCAAUUCAAGAAAAUCCCAUUUCACCUGAUCUUAGGUUCAAUGGGGUUGCCAAGAGAUUGAAAGUCUCUCCUGUUGAAGAAGAGAGAGGCAAUGAUGAUUCUAUCAGGCCUUGGAAUUUGAGGACCAGAAGGGCGGCAUGCAAGGCGCCACUGCGGAUAGAAGAGAAGACAAAUGUUGACUCUCCGAGGAAAGCUUUGGAAAUUGAUUCGCUUAGGAGAAAUGCAACUUCUUCGGUUAAGAGGCAGAGUACGGAGCCCGAGAAGGAGAGAGUCAAGUUUUCGGUUCCCCUUUCAAAGGAGGAGAUUGAGCAGGAUUUCAUGGAGAUUUGUAGGAUUAGGCCACCCAGAAGACCCAAGAAGAGGCCUCGAAUUGUGCAGAAGUAUUUGGAUUCAGUUUUUCCAGGAUUGUGGCUAACAGAAGUUACACCAGAUUCGUACAAGGUUCCUGAAGCACCUGAGUCAUGAGAGCCUGAGAGGGACAGAAAUGAAAUUAUAGUUGUUUUCUGGGAAAUUUCUUGUAAUCUGCUUGCUAACACUGCAGUUGACCUCAAUUAAUGAUGGAUGCAUAAAAUCAAAAUUUGGUCAAAACUCUUUAUGCCAAAUCUUGUUAUAUAGCAGAUGGACUUCAGAAUUUUAUAAUCUGCGGUGGAGUUUCUUGAUUCUUUGCAGUGUUUGUGAGCCUUCCAAGUUGAGAUUGGUCAAGAUGAAAUGCUGAUAUCAGAUUUCGUUUAGGGUUUGUCUCUAUUACUACUGAUGGUUGAUACAAAACUGAUUUAAGUUGAUUAGUUAUAAGACUAAAUCAGCUAAAAUGCUAUAUUUCUGCUGGUGUAAAUUAAACUUGUCAUGCAAGUGUUUUGGGAAAGAUUAGCCUAUCAUCUUUAGAGUAAAUUUCACUCAAAGGUAUCAAAAUUGUGAGUUCAAAUUCUAAUUCGAGUCCCUUCAAUCAAAUAAAUGAAAGGAGUACAGUAACUUUUAUCCGUUGAGCGACAGGUAUCUAUUAGGUAUUAUGCUGAGUUCCUCUAGCUAUUGAUUUUGUUUCUCUACAAGGAUAAGAUAGAGACAUACCAAAUAUUCCUUCUGUAAGAUCAUUUGGCUGUCUUCCUACAGGCAAAUAAAAUUAAGGUGUCUUAUAUUUUAUUAUACAAGUUUUUGUCUUU